rnacentral:rRNA from 1 species
CCUACGGGAGGCAGCAGCAAGGGAUAUUGGGCAAUGGGCGAAAGCCUGACCCAGCGACGCCGCGUGGGGGAAGAAGGCCUUCGGGUUGUAAACCCCUUUUCUCAGGGAAGAAUCAUGACGGUACCUGAGGAAUAAGUCUCGGCUAACUACGUGCCAGCAGCCGCGGUAAUACGUAGGAGGCAAGCGUUAUCCGGAUUUAUUGGGCGUAAAGAGGGUGUAGGCGGUCCUUCAAGUCAGAUGUGAAAUCUCCUGGCUUAACUGGGAGGGGUCAUCUGAGACUGUUGGACUAGAGGGCAGCAGGGGGAGACGAAAUUCCCGGUGUAGGGGUGAAAUGCGUAGAGAUCAGGAGGACCAC